rnacentral:rRNA from 1 species
CCUACGGGGUGCAGCAGUGAGGAAUAUUGGUCAAUGGACGAGAGUCUGAACCAGCCAAGUAGCGUGAAGGAUGACUGCCCUAUGGGUUGUAAACUUCUUUUAUAUGGGAAUAAAAUGUUCCACGUGUGGGAUUUUGUAUGUACCAUAUGAAUAAGGAUCGGCUAACUCCGUGCCAGCAGCCGCGGUAAUACGGAGGAUCCGAGCGUUAUCCGGAUUUAUUGGGUUUAAAGGGAGCGUAGGUGGAUUGUUAAGUCAGUUGUGAAAGUUUGCGGCUCAACCGUAAAAUUGCAGUUGAAACUGGCAGUCUUGAGUACAGUAGAGGUGGGCGGAAUUCGUGGUGUAGCGGUGAAAUGCUUAGAUAUCACGAAGAACUCCGAUUGCGAAGGCAGUUCACUGGACUGCAACUGACACUGAGGCUCGAAAGUGUGGGUAUCAAACAGGAUUAGAUACCCGAGUAGC